rnacentral:tRNA from 1 species
GGGCGCUUAGCUCAGUUGGUAGAGCGGCGCCCUUACAAGGCGUAGGUCGGGAGUUCGAGCCUCUCAGCGCCCACCA